CGAAAGCCUGACGGAGCAAUACCGCGUGAGGGAGGAAGGCUCUUGGGUUGUAAACCUCUUUUCUCAAGGAAGAACAAAAUGACGGUACUUGAGGAAUAAGCAUCGGCUAACUCCGUGCCAGCAGCCGCGGUAAUACGGAGGAUGCAAGCGUUAUCCGGAAUGAUUGGGCGUAAAGCGUCCGCAGGUGGCUUUGUAAGUCUGCUGUUAAAGAGUGAGGCUCAACCUCAUAAAAGCAGUGGAAACUACAUAGCUUGAGUACGUUCGGGGCAGAGGGAAUUCCUGGUGUAGCGGUGAAAUGCGUAGAGAUCAGGAAGAACACCGGUGGCGAAAGCGCUCUGCUAGGCCGUAACUGACACUGAGGGACGAAAGC
rnacentral:rRNA from 1 species